UACGUAGGGUGCAAGCGUUGUCCGGAAUUAUUGGGCGUAAAGAGCUCGUAGGCGGUCUGUCGCGUCGGAUGUGAAAACCCAGGGCUCAACCCUGGGCCUGCAUUCGAUACGGGCAGACUAGAGUUCGGUAGGGGAGACUGGAAUUCCUGGUGUAGCGGUGAAAUGCGCAGAUAUCAGGAGGAACACCGGUGGCGAAGGCGGCAUCCUGGACCGACAUUGACGCUGAAAGCCGAAAGCUAGGGGAGCAAACGGG
rnacentral:rRNA from 1 species